rnacentral:rRNA from 1 species
UACGUAGGGGGCAAGCGUUGUCCGGAAUCAUUGGGCGUAAAGAGCGCGUAGGCGGCCCAGUAAGUCCGCUCUGAAAGUCAAGGGCUCAACCCUUGGAUGCGGUGGAUACUGCUGGGCUAGAGUCCGGAAGAGGCGAGUGGAAUUCCUGGUGUAGCGGUGAAAUGCGCAGAUAUCAGGAGGAACACCGGUGGCGAAGGCGGGUCUCUGGGCAGUAACUGACGCUGAGGAGCGAAAGCGUGGGGAGCGAACAGG